CCAAUUUGACUGGUUGAGGCCCGCUCAAAGAAAGGAACAAAGAUUGUCCCACAUUGAAAUUGCAAGGAAGGUUAAGUUAAUAUAAAAUGAAGUUUACCGGUUAAAUGCACACGAGCGUGUCAUGUGGAAGCCGCUUUAUUGAGUUUGCGAGACAGGAUUUAUUGUGUCUAGAUCAUGAUGCUAUCAAUACGAAUCGUGCGAUGUUUUUAAUUCAAAAUUUUAAAAUAAAUUGCCCGAUUUAUU
rnacentral:lncRNA from 1 species